ACUUGUCUCCAAAAAAGAAGAUAAGACAAAUAAUCCAACAGAAUUCAAUUAGUAGGUUCUUACAAAGCCUGAGCUGCUGUUGAAUUCACCACGCAGCCCAUAGCUCAUCCACAGCUGGAAUAACAGUCUUUAACAUCAGCAACAAGAAGAAGAAGAAGAAAAAGAAUAAUUGCUCCCAAAUAUAAUAGCAGCAAAGGAACAACGAACUUUUGCACAAGAGGAGACUCCAUUGAAAAGAUGCAAUUUCACAUCCACCAUAUAUCAGUAAUUCUAUUUUAAGCUUUGUUUGGUCCACUGACAUCCAUUUGUAUUUUGGCUUAAAAACAGUCAUCGCCAGAGCAACAUUAUUUGAC
rnacentral:lncRNA from 1 species